rnacentral:siRNA from 1 species
UAUCGACUGUCAUGUCAUCGAUAC